rnacentral:rRNA from 2 species
CCACCACUAAGCCAGUGGUGAACUCCACAUACGCAUCCUUUGCUGAGGAUACGGUUAACGGAGCGCAAGCGACGUUCAACCUCAAAAGAAGCAGAGGGGGCUUAGUGGUGGGGUGACUGCGUACCUUUUGUAUAAUGGGUCAGCGACUUAUAUUCUGUAGCAAGGUUAACCGAAUAGGGGAGCCGGAGGGAAACCGAGUCUUAAUUGGGCGUUAAGUUGCAGGGUAUAGACCCGAAACCCGGUGAUCUAGCCAUGGGCAGGUUGAAGGUUGGGUAACACUAACUGGAGGACCGAACCGGCUAAUGUUGAAAAAUUAGCGGAUGACCUGUGGCUGGGGGUGAAAGGCCAAUCAAACCGGGAGAUAGCUGGUUCUCCCCGAAAGCUAUUUAGGUAGCGCCUCGUGAAUUCAUCUCCGGGGGUAGAGCACUGUUUCGGCUAGGGGGCCAUCCCGGCUUACCAACCCGAUGCAAACUGCGAAUACCGGAGAAUG